UUCAGAUAAUUUGUGGAUUGUG
rnacentral:snRNA from 1 species